rnacentral:rRNA from 1 species
AUUGAACGCUGGCGGCAGGCCUAACACAUGCAAGUCGAGCGGAUGAAGGGAGCUUGCUCCUGGAUUCAGCGGCGGACGGGUGAGUAAUGCCUAGGAAUCUGCCUGGUAGUGGGGGAUAACGUCCGGAAACGGGCGCUAAUACCGCAUACGUCCUGAGGGAGAAAGUGGGGGAUCUUCGGACCUCACGCUAUCAGAUGAGCCUAGGUCGGAUUAGCUAGUUGGUGGGGUAAAGGCCUACCAAGGCGACGAUCCGUAACUGGUCUGAGAGGAUGAUCAGUCACCCUGGAACUGGAACACGGACCAGGCUCCUACGGGAGGCAGCAGUGGGGAAUAUUGGACAAUGGGCGAAAGCAUGAUCCAGCCAUGCCGCGUGUGUGAAGAAGGUCUUCGGAUUGUAAAGCACUUUAAGUUGGGAGGAAGGGCAGUAAGUUAAUACCUUGCUGUUUUGACGUUACCAACAGAAUAAGCACCGGCUAACUUCGUG